GAUGAACGCUAGCGGCAGGCCUAAUACAUGCAAGUCGAACGGAAUAUAGUUUUCGGAUUAUAUUUAGUGGCGCACGGGUGAGUAACACGUACAUAACUUACCCUCAAGAGGGGGAUAGCCUUGGGAAACUGAGCGUAAUACCCCAUAGUAUUAUUGAACGGCAUCGUUUGAUAAUUAAAGCUACGGCGCUUGAGGAUAGAUGUGCGUCUGAUUAGCUAGUUGGUAAGGUAACGGCUUACCAAGGCGACGAUCAUUAGCUGGUCUGAGAGGAUGAUCAGCCAGACUGGGACUGAGAACGGCCCAGACUCCUACGGGAGGCAGCAGUAGGGAAUUUUCCACAAUGGACGAAAGUCUGAUGGAGCAACGCCGCGUGCAGGAUGAAUGCCUUCGGGUUGUAAACUGCUUUUAUCUGUGACGAUAAUGACGGUAGCAGAUGAAUAAGGAUCGGCUAACUCCGUG
rnacentral:rRNA from 1 species